AUUGAGGUCUGUCUUGAUAGGAUUUCUCCAGGAGCCGCACGUUGUUAGAAAUGCCUCAUACAGUAAUUUGUGGUUUUGCUUGCUCAUGGGACUGUUUCUUGGGCCUGUGGGAAAGUAUAUGACAGUU
ensembl:snoRNA small nucleolar RNA SNORA18